rnacentral:tRNA from 1 species
GGGGACAUAGCUCAGUUGGGAGAGCGCCUGCCUUGCAAGCAGGAGGUCGCGGGUUCGACUCCCGUUGUUUCCACCA